AUAAAAGUAGCAAUACUUUGGUGGCGACCGGCGCACGGGUGAGUAACGCGUAUGCAACCUACCUAUCAGAGGGGAAUAACCCGGCGAAAGUCGGACUAAUACCGCAUAAAACAGGGACACCGCAUGGUGAUAUUUGUUAAAGAAAUUCGCUGAUAGAUGGGCAUGCGUUCCAUUAGGUAGUUGGUGAGGUAACGGCUCACCAAGCCGACGAUGGAUAGGGGAACUGAGAGGUUGGUCCCCCACACUGGUACUGAGACACGGACCAGACUCCUACGGGAGGCAGCAGUGAGGAAUAUUGGUCAAUGGGCGAGAGCCUGAACCAGCCAAGUCGCGUGAAGGAAGAAGGAUCUAUGGUUCGUAAACUUCUUUUGCAGGGGAAUAAAGUGCAGGACGUGUCCUGUUUUGUAUGUACCCUGAGAAUAAGGAUCGGCUAACUCCGUGCCAGCAGCCGCGGUAAUACGGAGGAUCCGAGCGUUAUCCGGAUUUAUUGGGUUUAAAGGGUGCGUAGGUGGUUUGAUAAGUCAGCGGUGAAAGUUUGCAGCUUAACUGUAAAAAUGCCGUUGAAACUGUCGGACUUGAGUGUAAAUGAGGUAGGCGGAAUGCGUGGUGUAGCGGUGAAAUGCAUAGAUAUCACGCAGAACUCCGAUUGCGAAGGCAGCUUACUAAGCUACAACUGACACUGAAGCACGAAAGCGUGGGGAUCAAACAGGAUUAGAUACCCUGGUAGUCCACGCAGUAAACGAUGAUUACUAGCUGUUUGCGAUACACAGUAAGCGGCACAGCGAAAGCGUUAAGUAAUC
rnacentral:rRNA from 1 species